UACGUAGGGUGCGAGCGUUGUCCGGAAUUAUUGGGCGUAAAGAGCUCGUAGGCGGUGUGUCACGUCGAUCGUGAAAACUUUCAGCUUAACUGGGAGCUUGCGGUCGAUACGGGGCAUCACUGGAGUUCGGCAGGGGAGACUGGAAUUCAAGGUGUAGCGGUGAAAUGACGCAGAUAUCUUGAGGAACACCGGUGGCGAAGGCGGGUCUCUGGGCCGAUACUGACGCUCAUGCACGAAAAGCGUGGGGAGCAAACAGG
rnacentral:rRNA from 1 species